rnacentral:rRNA from 1 species
UACGUAGGGUGCGAGCGUUAAUCGGAAUUACUGGGCGUAAAGCGUGCGCAGGCGGUUUUGUAAGCCAGAUGUGAAAUCCCCGGGCUUAACCUGGGAAUGGCAUUUGGGACUGCAAGGCUGGAGUGCGGCAGAGGAGACUGGAAUUCCUGGUGUAGCAGUGAAAUGCGUAGAUAUUGGGAGGAACACCAGUGGCGAAGGCGGCUACCUGGACCGGUUCUGACGCUGAGGCGCGAAAGCGUGGGUAGCAAACAGG